rnacentral:lncRNA from 1 species
UUUCAGCAUCCAGAGGGUAGUGCAUGGGCCGGUGUACCUCCUCGUGGGGUUGGCAGAAGUUUGAGUAUAUCAGCUCCACCUGAGCAGGUGAAUCCUAGACUUGGAUUAGGUUUGAGAAGACUAGGUACUGAAGGUAAUGCUGAACCCAUGGCAUCUGGAAGCUCUCGGAGAAACUUCCGUUUGAGGAUACAUCCUUCACAUCAAGAAUCUGUUCCUUCUUCAUUAUUUUCUUCUGGAACUGCUGUUAGGAAUAACAAUUUCCAAUCUUCCCAUCACUCAAGGCGUAUUCCAGUUGAUCAGUCCUUGGAGUUU